GCUGGCGGCGUGCCUAAUACAUGCAAGUCGAGCGGAUCAAGAGAAGCUUGCUUCUUUUGAUCAGCGGCGGACGGGUGAGUAACACGUGGGCAACCUGCCUGUAAGACUGGGAUAACUUCGGGAAACCGGAGCUAAUACCGGAUAAUCCUUUUCCUCUCAUGUGGAAAAGCUGAAAGACGGCGCAAGCUGUCACUUACAGAUGGGCCCGCGGCGCAUUAGCUAGUUGGUGAGGUAACGGCUCACCAAGGCGACGAUGCGUAGCCGACCUGAGAGGGUGAUCGGCCACACUGGGACUGAGACACGGCCCAGACUCCUACGGGAGGCAGCAGUAGGGAAUCUUCCGCAAUGGACGAAAGUCUGACGGAGCAACGCCGCGUGAGCGAAGAAGGCCUUCGGGUCGUAAAGCUCUGUUGUUAGGGAAGAACACGUACCGGAGUAACUGCCGGUACCUUGACGGUACCUAACCAGAAAGCCACGGCUAACUACGUGCCAGCAGCCGCGGUAAUACGUAGGUGGCAAGCGUUGUCCGGAAUUAUUGGGCGUAAAGCGCGCGCAGGCGGUCCUUUAAGUCUGAUGUGAAAGCCCACGGCUCAACCGUGGAGGGUCAUUGGAAACUGGGGGACUUGAGUGCAGAAGAGGAAAGUGGAAUUCCACGUGUAGCGGUGAAAUGCGUAGAGAUGUGGAGGAACACCAGUGGCGAAGGCGACUUUCUGGUCUGUAACUGACGCUGAGGCACGAAAGCGUGGGGAGCAAACAGGAUUAGAUACCCCAGUAGUCC
rnacentral:rRNA from 1 species